AGUGAACGCUGGCGGCGUGCCUAAUACAUGUAAGUCGAACGGAGUGGCGCACGGGUGAGUAAUGUAUAGCUAUUCUGCCCUAUACUAGAUGACAACAGUUGGGAACAACUGCUAAUACUCUAUAGUGUAGGAUGAGGCUAUAUUGUAUCAGCUAGUUGGUGAGGUAAUGGCUCACCAAGGCUAUGACGCAUAACUGGUCUGAGAGGACGAGCAGUCAGACUGGAACUGAGACACGGUCCAGACUCCUACGGGAGUCAGCAGUAGGGAAGAUUGCUCAAUGGGGGAAACCCUGAAGCAGCAACGCGGCGUGGAGGAUGUCACGUUGCGGAGCGGAAACUCCUUUUGUUACGUAUGCGGUACCUACCGAAUAAGCACCGGCUAACUCCGUGCCAGCAGCCGCGGUAAUAC
rnacentral:rRNA from 1 species